rfam:Parcubacteria bacterium GW2011_GWA1_47_9 TY14_C0039, whole genome shotgun sequence.
GCCGAGGUGGCGAAAUGGAAUACGCGCAGGCCUUAGAAGUCUGUGUCCGAAAGGACGUGUGGGUUCAAAUCCCACCCUCGGCA